AGUGACUUUUGUGACAACAGAAAAAAGCAGUAAGUGUAUAAUACAACACAAGUAGGCAGUUUCUUUGGGUAAACAAAUAGAUGCUGUUUUCUUGCAAUGCAUCAGGUGGUUUUGUUCAGUUUGUAACCUUACUAUUUAGUGUCUGCGGCCCUUGCAAAAAUAAUACCUGGUGUUCAAUCAGUCAUACUUGCACAGUGACAACGAGCGUUGAUUAGUUUUUUUAGUUAGUAAGUAGUUGUAAAUUCACAGUGAAAAUGGACAAAAAAAGCUUGACAAGAACAGAAUUGAUUCUACAAAUGGUGAUGAAUAAAAAUUCCAGUAAUAUGGGGGAAGAAAUAUGUCAUGAGGAGCCUGACAAUAUUAUCGAAGAAGCGUCUCAAUAUAGCUUUAUAAUUUUGCAGAAUGAAAGUACUGACAUAGUAAAUACUAUGCAGACGGAACUGGUAGGAUUAGAUGCAGACGAAAUUGGGGAAUCCUAUAAUAACAGAGAUGAAAUGUGGACACAAAAUUUGAGAAAUAUAUUUGAAAACGGAGUUAUUAAUUUUGAAGAGAACCUUGG